GUGCUCACUUCGGUAUGACACGUACUAAAACUGGAACAUGACAAAGAAAAUUAGCAUGGCCCCCUGAGCAAGAAUGGCAUGCAAAGUCAUGAAGCAUCUCAUAUUUUA
ensembl:snRNA U6 U6 spliceosomal RNA